AACCUCUCUUGAAAAAUUUAGUAGCAUGAGACCUACUUUUUUUGCUUCACAGGACGCUAAAAGAGUUCCUUGCUCGAAGCUUUCGAGCGAAAAAGGAAAGAAAGCAAAGAAAAAUGAAACGACUCGUCGGUUGAAGCUGUUGGGGGGCGACGUCAUGAAGAUUGGGCCAUCUUGCUUCUGAAUUUGGAAGAACUUUAGAGGCAUUCGAAUGCUUCUACGCAUGUUCAAGCUACCCAAUAAGACUGAACGACGAUUCACACGCUAAUCUCUGUCAUUUUCCAGAUUUGGGUGUUUUUCCGAUUGCCAUAAGGGCAUGCUCGAGUUUGAUGCGUGGGGAGAGAGCUAAUGAGUAACGAUCGCUUAAUUAGUGCGCGCCCUUUAUUAUGAGCUUGUACCUAAUGCUUAGUGAUCAUAUCGGGGACUGAUACGUUGCAUCUUUGGAUGAAUGCAUUUAGCAUGUGUAGACGUGCUCUUGUUUUGAUCAUUUCGUUGUCACUUUAUCUGUGAAUAACGUGGGAUGUCUAAAUCUUUGGCUCGACUAAUCGAUGGAGGGAAAGUUGUCCUAUUUUUAUGAAUCGGAAUCUAUCCAAGGGGAGGAAGGCUUAAGCCCCGUAAAGUGGAAGUCCUUAUAAUUCGAACGUAGAUUUGCUUCAUCGAGGUCUUUGGCUUAUGAUGGUGGCCCUAUUCAAGAGUACUUCGCAUGCAGUUGGUGAAGUUUUAACCAGUGAGUCGGUGUUCCAAAAUUGCAGACCCCGCGACACCCUAAUCAGCUACACCUAUGCCAGCCGGCCCUGCGGUUUAUCCUCGUUCUAUUUUCCACUAAUCCAAACCGUUAUUUUAUAGCCUAUGAUCACACCUGCUUAAUAAGUUUCUGAAGUAGUCCAUAGGUCAUUUCAAUGAUUAAAAUUUGGCGACCGGCUGAUUGUUUUGCUUGGGUUUUAGUGUAAGUAUAUGUUCAUGUUCAUACACCAGAGGAGUAUCAUAUAAUGGGGUUUCGCUUUUCUUUGAC